rnacentral:rRNA from 1 species
GUCCACGCCGUAAACGAUGGGUGCUAGGUGUCGCGGGCUUUGACUCCUGCGGUGCCGUAGCUAACGCAUUAAGCACCCCGCCUGGGGAGUACGGCCGCAAGGCUAAAACUCAAAGGAAUUGACGGGGGCCCCGCACAAGCGGUGGAGCAUGUGGUUUAAUUCGACGCAACGCGCAGAACCUUACCUGGGCUAGAAAAUGCAGGAACCUGGUCGAAAGGUCGGGGUGCUCUUCGGAGAACCUGUAGUUAGGUGCUGCAUGGCUGUCGU